UACGAAGGGUGCAAACGUUGCUCGGAAUCAUUGGGCGUAAAGCGCACGUAGGCGGCCUCAAAAGUCGGAUGUGAAAUCCCGUGGCUCAACCAUGGACGUGCAUUCGAAACUGCGAGGCUUGAGUAUGGAAGAGGGUCGCGGAAUUCCCGGUGUAGAGGUGAAAUUCGUAGAUAUUAGGAAGAACACCGGUGGCGAAGGCGGCCCACUGGCUCGAUACUGACGCUGAGGUGCGAAAGCGUGGGGAGCAAACAGG
rnacentral:rRNA from 1 species